rnacentral:snoRNA from 1 species
AUUCCAUGAUGGGGACAUUCUAUUAUGUUAUCUUGGAAGCGCUCCCAUGCUUCUAGAACGGAUUCAUCAUGUUGUUGCUGAAAACAUGUAAUUUUCCCGCGGAGAGC